rnacentral:lncRNA from 1 species
CCAAAAUCAAAUGCUGAUUUUUACAAAAAGGCAUCAAAGUUUAAUUUUUUAAAAGUCGACUGAACUAGGUUGGAUUGAAACCAGAGCCUAUGCAUUAUUAAAAUAAUUGAAUUGGGAAUCAAAAUAUCAGACUGAACUCCAGUCAGAACACUGUACAGUCUUGAUUGUGGAUGACAGCUUCCUCCGCUAUAAGCUAAAUUGGACUCUGUGAGGGAAAUGGCAGUUAUGCUAUCAAACAGCGAAAUGAUGAGGCUCACAGGAUUAGCCUUC